CGAGCACGCGCGUGUGGCAUAUCAAUAAGCGGAGGAAAAGAAACUAACAAGGAUUCCCCUAGUAACGGCGAGUGAAGCGGGAAGAGCUCAAAUUUGAAAUCUUCAGGGUUUGACCUUGACGAAUUGUAGUUUAAAGAAGUGUUUUCGGUUAGAGGAGUGGUAAAAGUUCUUUGGAACAGGACAUCAUAGAGGGUGAGAAUCCCGUAUUUGACCAUUCUUUCUAGCUUUGUGAUACACUUUCAAAGAGUCGGAUUGUUUGGGAAUGCAGUCCAAAAUGGGUGGUAAAUUUCAUCUAAAGCUAAAUAUUGGCGAGAGACCGAUAGCGAACAAGUACCGUGAGGGAAAGAUGAAAAGAACUUUGAAAAGAGAGUUAAACAGUACGUGAAAUUGUCAAAAGGGAAGCGUUUGACACCAGUGUUGUUUUUCCGAAAAUCAAUUACGAAUGUUUUAGUUUUUGAGGAGUUAUGACUUCAUCGGCUUGCUCCUUUCUUUAUGAAACUUUCUUAAUGCACUUUUCGGUUAACAAGUCAACAUCAAUUUCUUUUGUUGUAAAAGGGUAUGAGGAAGGUGGCUUUCUUUUCGGAGAAAGUGUUUAUAGCCUUGUGCCUCUACAAUCGGAGAGAUUGAGGUCUGCAGCGUAGAUCCUUCGGGGUUAGAUACGUUUGUGCUAAGUUAUAGCUUUUCAUAGACAACUUGUUGACUAUGUUUAGUCUUGUAGCUUACUCGCUGACGCUAUUUUACCUACGCUUAGGAUGUUGAACUCUAUCACACACAG
rnacentral:rRNA from 1 species